GACCAUCUAAGCACCAGAACCGACUGCCAGAUACAGUUCGCGAAAGUUGAUAUAUUAAUUGAAAAAUACGAAUUUAUUUUAUUUUCAUAAAUCUGUAAAAUUCCAAAAAAAUAGCGCAACUGUCGCUUCAACUAGAAGUAUUUUUUCCGCUGACCAAUCUUCCUGAAUACACCAAACACAAGAAAAUGUUUCCUUGGAAAAUAUUUUCCGCCAAACAAACAGGGCCUAAGAUAAUAGUAAGAAACAUUUGACGAACGUGCCAAGCAGAAUACAAGUUUGCCCCACGCAUACUUCUACCACAUAAAAUAGCAUUCAAACGAAGAGAUGCCAGGGGAAGAUUACUUUUAAAUAAUGAGCCACCUCAAUUAUUCAUCCUGUUUCUGGAAUAUUACUUUCAGCCAUACGAUUCUAAUGACAAUGGUUUUAGAACAAAAAUAAAGAAUUGAGUUUGAUACAUGAGGAUCGGAGAGCAAACAUGGUAAUUUCACUACCUGCAGCUCAACAAGACAUUGAAAAUUUAAAAAGCCUCAACAGUGUAUCUUACAAAUGCCUCCUCCGCCUAUAUAAUGAGCACCUGAACUGUUUAUCUAAAAAUUCUGAUACUACGGUGUAAUCUUUCUCUUUUAAGUGAUCUAAAUAGGAAGGGAAU
rnacentral:lncRNA from 1 species